rfam:Oryza glaberrima chromosome 1 Oglab01_0288_2, whole genome shotgun sequence.
AAUAAGUGCAGUUUUACAUUAUUCAUUUUCAACAAUUGACCGUUCAUCUAAUUUAAAUUUUUUUAUGAUUAGUAUUUUUAUUGUUAUUAUUAUGGAUGAUAAAACAUGAAUAGUACUUUGUGUGACUAUUUUUUUUAGUUUUCUCUUAAAAAUUUUUAAAUAUGACAGACAGUCAAACGUUGGACGCGGAUAUCCACGGCUGCACUUAUU